CAAGCCUGAUCCAGCCAUACCGCGUGGGUGAAGAAGGCCUUCGGGUUGUAAAGCCCUUUUGUUGGGAAAGAAAAGCAUUCGGUUAAUACCCGAUUGUUCUGACGGUACCCAAAGAAUAAGCACCGGCUAACUACGUGCCAGCAGCCGCGGUAAUACGUAGGGGGCGAGCGUUGUCCGGAUUUACUGGGCGUAAAGGGUGCGUAGGCGGCCUUGUAAGUCAGAUGUGAAAGGCUACGGCUCAACCGUAGUAAGCAUUUGAAACUGCAGGGCUUGAGUGCAGGAGAGGAGAGUGGAAUUCCUAGUGUAGCGGUGAAAUGCGUAGAUAUUAGGAGGAACACCAGUGGCGAAGGCGACUCUCUGGACUGUAACUGACGCUGAGGCACGAAAGCGUGGGGAGCAAACA
rnacentral:rRNA from 2 species